rnacentral:rRNA from 1 species
CAAUAUAAGUGAUGGCGACCGGCGCACGGGUGAGUAACACGUAUCCAACCUGCCGAUAACUCGGGGAUAGCCUUUCGAAAGAAAGAUUAAUACCCGAUGGUAUAAUAAAACCGCAUGGUUUAAUUAUUAAAGAAUUUCGGUUAUCGAUGGGGAUGCGUUCCAUUAGGCAGUUGGUGAGGUAACGGCUCACCAAACCUUCGAUGGAUAGGGGUUCUGAGAGGAAGGUCCCCCACAUUGGAACUGAGACGCGGUCCAA